UCGUGCUAGAUGGGGAGCUAGCGGUGCCCUGUACCCGCAAUCCGCUAUAGCGGGGUCGAAAGCCUUCUUGAGGUUCUGCGCCUAACGAAACUGCUGAGGAAAAGUGGCGUUGAAGGCUGGGUCCUGCGCGGCAGAAGCCUAUGAACCCCGUCAGAUCCGGAAGGAAGCAGCGGUAAGUAGUCACUUCUGGGCGCCGCAGGGGAACCUAGUUGGAGCUAACUGGCCUCGGUAAGCCGGGAGGCUAGGGUCGAGAGAGGUCGCACGA
rnacentral:SRP_RNA from 1 species